rnacentral:rRNA from 1 species
GAAUGCUGACAUAAGUAACGAUAAAGCGGGUGAAAAGCCCGCUCGCCGGAAGACCAAGGGUUCCUGUCCAACGUUAAUCGGGGCAGGGUGAGUCGACCCCUAAGGCGAGGCCGAAAGGCGUAGUCGAUGGGAAACAGGUUAAUAUUCCUGUACUUGGUGUUACUGCGAAGGGGGGACGGAGAAGGCUAUGUUGGCCGGGCGACGGUUGUCCCGGUUUAAGCGUGUAGGCUGGUUUUCCAGGCAAAUCCGGAAAAUCAAGGCUGAGGCGUGAUGACGAGGCACUACGGUGCUGAAGCGACAAAUGCCCUGCUUCCAGGAAAAGCCUCUAAGCAUCAGGUAACAUCAAAUCGUACCCCAAACCGACACAGGUGGUCAGGUAGAGAAUACCAAGGCGCUUGAGAGAACUCGGGUGAAGGAACUAGGCAAAAUGGUGCCGUAACUUCGGGAGAAGGCACGCUGAUAUGUAGGUGAAGCGACUUGCUCGUGGAGCUGAAAUCAGUCGAAGAUACCAGCUGGCUGCAACUGUUUAUUAAAAACACAGCACUGUGCA